AUUAUUUUGGGAUUUUUUGGAUGAAGAAUGAAAUUACUAUGAAUUUUUGAAGAAAAAGCAUUUAAAAAUAAUAAUAGAAAAAUAAUUAAAAUAAAAAAAAUACGGAGUGUUGAAUCACGCCUCAUUAAUUGACGUGACAUAUCCAACAUUCCAAAUGUUAGAGAACACGAUGGAACGCACUGCAAGCCAAACACAUGAACCAAUUUAAAUCCAAC
rnacentral:lncRNA from 1 species